GACCUCAAAUCAGGUAGGACUACCCGCUGAACUUAAGCAUAUCAUAGGCGG
rnacentral:rRNA from 1 species